rnacentral:rRNA from 1 species
AGCAGCCGCGGUAAUUCCAGCUCCAAUAGCGUAUAUUAAAGUUGUUGCAGUUAAAAAGCUCGUAGUUGAAUUUCGGGAUCAAGGGAUCGGUCAUGCCUUGGUAUGUACUGGUUUUAUUGGUUCUCACCUUCUAAAGAACCAUAAUGUCAUUUAUUUGAUAUUAUGGGGAAUUAGGACUGUUACCUUGAAAAAUUAGAGUGUUUAAAGCAAGCUUACGCUUGAAUACAUUAGCAUGGAAUAAUGAAAUAGGACAUCAGAUUCUAUUUUGUUGGUUUCUAGGAUCGAUGUAAUGAUUAAUAGGGAUAGUUGGGGGCAUUAGUAUUCAAUUGUCAGAGGUGAAAUUCUUGGAUUUAUUGAAGACUAACUACUGCGAAAGCAUUUGCCAAGGAUGUUUUCAUUAAUCAAGAACGAAAGUUAGGGGAUCGAAGACGAUCAGAUACCGUCGUAGUCUUAGCCAUAAACUAUGCCGACUAGGGAUCGGAUGAUGUUAAUUUUUAAUGA